AGAGUUUGAUUCUGGCUCAGGACGAACGCUGGCGGCGCGCCUAACACAUGCAAGUCGAGCGAGAGCCCGAGGAGGGGUAACCCUUCUCGGGGGAGAGCGGCGAACGGGUGAGUACCACGUGGGCAACCUGCCCCAGACUCUGGGAUAACCCCGGGAAACCGGAGCUAAUACCGGAUACUCUCGGCGGACCGCAUGAUCUGCCGAGGAAAGCUUUCGCGGUCUGGGAUGGGCCCGCGGCCUAUCAGCUUGUUGGCGGGGUAACGGCCCACCAAGGCGACGACGGGUAGCUGGUCUGAGAGGACGGUCAGCCACACUGGGACUGAGACACGGCCCAGACUCCUACGGGAGGCAGCAGUGGGGAAUCUUGCGCAAUGGGCGAAAGCCUGACGCAGCGACGCCGCGUGGGGGAUGAAGGCCCUCGGGUUGUAAACCCCUUUCGGCAGGGACGAAGCGAAAGUGACGGUACCUGCAGAAGAAGCUCCGGCUAACUACGUGCCAGCAGCCGCGGUAAGACGUAGGGAGCGAGCGUUGUCCGGAUUCAUUGGGCGUAAAGAGCGCGUAGGCGGCCGUGCAAGUCGGUUGUGAAAUUCCGGGGCUCAACCCCGGGACUGCAUCCGAUACCGCACGGCUCGAGGCAGGUAGGGGAGAGUGGAAUUCCCGGUGUAGCGGUGAAAUGCGCAGAUAUCGGGAGGAACACCGGUGGCGAAGGCGGCUCUCUGGACCUGUCCUGACGCUGAGGCGCGAAAGCUAGGGGAGCGAACAGGAUUAGAUACCCUGGUAGUCCUAGCCGUAAACGUUGGGUGCUAGGUGUGGGCGGAUAUCGACCCCGUCCGUGCCGAAGCUAACGCAUUAAGCACCCCGCCUGGGGAGUACGGCCGCAAGGCUAAAACUCAAUGAAUUGACGGGGG
rnacentral:rRNA from 1 species